rnacentral:lncRNA from 1 species
AAGAAAAUAUCCUGGGCCGAGGACCGACUAACAAACAAACAACACAGAGAGGAGUGUUCAGCUCCCGAUUUCGCCUUCUUCUUUUUUGUUUGUGAUAAUCCCAAUCCCCCCCUCUCUCUCUCUGAGAUAAUCGAAAACCUAAAGCCCAAAAUCAGAGAGAAGAGAGAACAACACGAACAGUACGCCCACGCCCUUCUUCCCUCGGUGUUAUCAUCCAUUUUCUUUCUCUGAAUUCUGUAUUACUUGCCUGUCUGGCCGUAGGACGUGUAUCCUUAUCUGAAUUUCGCG